GUUCAAAACUUCAAAUAGGAAUGAAGACGUAAUAAAGUUGUAAAAUUACGAAGUUAAACCAACUCAACGCCACUGAAAACUCGGAGAAUUUUGGCGGGUAAAUGGAGCUCCUGAAGCUCUCCAAAUUCAAGCUCCAACUCCACGCCCUAAUUUGUGAAGUUCGUGAACUCAAAGAAAAGGAACGCAAUGCCUCUCAACAAGUCCAACUCGCACUACAGAAGCAAAAGCAAUCGGAGGAGGAAUUCAAUCAAAAAUUGACGGAAUUUCGUGCUGAGUUAGGUUUCUCUAAUGAACUUAGGCAUAAGCUGGAAAGAAAGGUAACUUGCUUAGAGAAUGAGAAUAAUUUGCUGGAGAACAAGAAGAAGGAAUUGGAAGGAACUUUACAAAGCUUGCUUGAAUCAAGGGAAGAUUUUCUGAAGGCUUAUGAGGACUCUACAUAUGAAAUGAAGCGAGCUAUUGAAGACAGAGAUAGAAAAAUUGGUAUUCUAUCUGAAACGUUAAGAGUUCAUUUGUUAUUAUUCGAUUCAAUAUCAAAGGAGGCUUCCUCCAUCAAUAAACUUAUGGAUGAUGCUAGACACGCUCUCAGUCAAAAGGAGGAUGUAGGCAUGUAGCUUUCUUUUCUUAAGGUUUCAUUCAUUCAAUCUCAGCAAUCUAUCUAUUCAUAAACUUGCUCACAGACACCGAUUUCUUUUUUUCUUUUUUUACUUUCCUCAAUUUCUCUUGUCAUGUCCAGUGGCUGGGCUAAAGAGGAAAAUGGAUGAGGUUUCUACUUUUGAGAAACUUUUUGUCGAAAAGACCAACAACCUGGAAAGAAAACUUAUGAAUAAUGAAGUGGAACUCACAACCAAAGCUAAAAGAAUACGAGAGCUGGAGGCAGAACUUGAGGCAGCAAUUCUUAGCAAGGAGUUCCAACCAAAGAUCAUACAGAUAUCCAUUAACUGAUGGAAGCAGUUCGUGCUCCCUUAUGCUUUAUUAGGUCUCGGCAAUGUUCUUUCACAUUCCCUUAUUUAUGGCAUGCCUCCUUAACUAGUCAUACCUUCAGAGAGAGAUAUCCACAAAAGAACUACUUCUACAGAACUUAAUCUCAGAGAACAAGGGACUGCAUUCUGAAAUAGGAAGCUUAGGCAUUGUCAUAAAAAAGAUUCAAGAUGCCGUCACUCGUAUGAGUGAAGAGGACAGAAGGACAUUCACCUCACUGAUGGAAGGCCAGGAAGAAUGCCUUUCAAUUAGACAAAGUGAAAAAUUAAGGACGCCAGAUACUGCUCAAAUCAAAGGGAAAGACUCUCAUCCAAAGUCUUCUAUGAGUGAAGAAAGCACAGCCUCGCCAGAAGUUCAGGAGGAUUCAAUAAAGAGCCCCUUGAAGAAGGAUAACAAGAUUAACUGCUAUAUAUCAGAGGCGAGUAGAUCCAUCCUCAGAUAAAUCUUCUCCCACCAUAUCUGUAAAAAGUUUUUGAACUUGCAGAUACUUCUUCACCUUUGCAAUUGCAGUCUGUUUAUUCUCCCUCACUGUCAGCUUGCUCAGUGCCUCAAUGUGAAGCUAACAAUGCAAGUGUCUCUGCUGCUGCAGCAAAGGAUGAUUACACAGAAUUAGCGAACCAGCUGGAUUCUGAAUGCUCAACGACUCAAAUGGAGAUCCUGUAAAUUUUUAGAUCUGAAAGAAGACCUAGCAAUGGCCAGAACGAGUGCUUUGACCGGAACCCAAUUUAUUGUGCCUCGACUUUGAGACCUUUCUCAAAAGAAAUAUAAUUGUGUGAUUUUGCGAAUUUCUCCAUCCCAGGUAAAUGGUACUCGUAUCUCUGGUGAUUGCCAAGGCUGGCUUGAGUUCCAUGAGUGAUUAUUACUAGUAAUUCAUUUUUCAAUUCACGUUCAAAAGAUACUAGGUUGUCUA